GUUGCUCUGAUGAGCUUUAACAUGUUAGAAGAUCCAUUCACCUGUUUGGGUUAUCAAUGAAAUUACACUUGUUACGCUUGUUCUCUGAGCUUG